ensembl:lncRNA
GGUGUUUGGGAGGAAGUGUUCCCAUCUGGGGCUGAAUAAAGUAGACACGCAAUCCUGGCAAAAUGGCCAGCAUGAGUCACAGGGGUGUGCAGCUCCCAGGAAGUAGUGGAUUUCUUUUCUACUUCAAGAUGUGUGCAGCCAAAUUAGAGCAGCAGGAAGUGGAUCAAUUAACAUACUCUCCACAAAUGGGUUGAGGAUGUUCUAACACUGGAUGAUGAGAACCCAGAGAAGUCAUGUGAAAAACCUUGCUUACCUAGCAGACCCAGCAGAGUCUUCAAAGUUUCCAGAAGUAGUUUGAAAAUUACAGGCAGUAGUCUACUGAAGAACCGUGGGGAAAAUGAAUACAGUUCUAUGUACCUAAAACACUUUGAAAGAAAACCACAGAGACAUCAUUGCUGCUAAUUUUGAAGGGGAACUCAAGCAGAGCAAAAGAGAAAUGGCCACUUCUCCAUUUAAAGACUGUGAUUCAUUUAACAUUUCUUUUCUGCCUUGUCCUUAUAUUAUCCCAAUGUCUUAGGGAAAUUGUUUCUUCCUUAAACACAGUUCCACUCAAUAAUUUGCUGUGUCCACUAAACUGUGAAUUUAUUUUGGUCUAAUUGCUGAACUCAAGAUAUCUAAAAUGUUCUAUUCUCCUUAUUAAAAAUAUUCUUUUGCUACAUAAAGAAUCCGUAGGCUUCAAUUCGUGAAGUAUAUUCCUUGGUGACAAAAAGCAUACAAAGUGUUGUGCUAAAUGGUGCUCUGCCAUUUGUAUUUGAUGAAAACAGACCAGAACAGUUUUUAAGGAAGUGGGUAUAGCUGAAAAAUAAAGGAAUCAUGAGCUACA